rnacentral:rRNA from 1 species
UACGAAGGGUGCAAACGUUGCUCGGAAUUAUUGGGCGUAAAGCGCAUGUAGGCGGCCUGACAAGUCGGAUGUGAAAUCCCUCGGCUUAACCAAGGAAGUGCAUUCGAAACUGUCAGGCUUGAGUACCAAAGAGGAUCGUAGAAUUCCCGGUGUAGAGGUGAAAUUCGUAGAUAUCGGGAGGAAUACCGGUGGCGAAGGCGGCGAUCUGGGUGGAUACUGACGCUGAGAUGCGAAAGCGUGGGGAGCAAACAGG